AUGGGGCGGGGCAUUGCGGGGCGGGGCCUGGGCCGGGUGGCCGCGCGCUCGCCGCGCGGGUCUCCCGGCGCUGGUCUCCCGGCGCGGGCGCGUGGCGCCAUGCUGCUGCGCCCGGUGAUCGGGAAGCUGCAGCACAAGCGCGUGGUGUUGGCCAGCUCCUCCCCGCGCCGCCGGGAGAUCCUCAGCAAUGCUGGCCUCAGGUUCGAGGUGGUCCCGUCCAGGUUCAAGGAGAAGCUGCACAAGGGCUCGUUCGCCGCCCCGCACGCAUACGCCGUGGAAACGGCCAAGCAGAAGGCGCUGGAGGUGGCCGACCGGAUGCACCAGAAGGACCUGCGGGCCCCGGACGUGGUCAUCGGAGCCGACACCAUCGUGGCGGUCGGGGGGCUGAUCCUGGAGAAGCCGGUGGACAAGCAGGACGCCUACCGCAUGCUGUCGAGGCUCAGCGGGAAGGAGCACAGCGUGUUCACGGGCGUGGCCAUCGUCCACUGCUGCACCAGAGACGGUCAGCUGGACACUGAGGUGUCCGAGUUCUACGAGGAGACCACGGUGAAGUUCUCGGAGCUGUCGGAGGAGCUGCUGUGGGAAUACAUGGACAGCGGGGAGCCCAUGGACAAGGCCGGCGGCUACGGGAUCCAGGCGCUGGGUGGGAUGUUGGUGGAGUACGUGCGCGGCGACUUCCUCAACGUGGUGGGCUUCCCGCUGAACCGCUUCUGCAAGGAGCUGGCGCGCCUGUACCACGCACCGCGGGCCCCCGGCACCCCGCGGCCGGUCCAGCACGACUCCAUCCCAGCUGUCGACACGUUCGAGGAUCUCAGCGAUGGCGAGGGAGGCGGCUCUGACCCCGCUCCGGCCAGCGGGGGCCUGCAGGCUGGCGGGGCGCGGCCGCAGGCUCCCCGCACCCAGGAGGCGGACCUGAACGGGGUGACGGACAGCCAGCCCGGGCUCCCCGCGGGCCUCCUGGAGCUGAUGGACGGCUUCAAAGCAUCCAAGGUCCUGCUCACGGCCUGCAAGCUCCAAGUGUUCGAUGUACUGAAAGACCGAGGACCCCUGUCAGCCAUGGACGUCGCCCGCGAAAUCGACGCCUCGGUGGGUGGCACCGCGCGCCUGCUUGACGUCUGUGCAGCCCUGGGGUUGCUGGACAAGUCGGACAGAGGUUACAGCAACACGGAGACGGCCAGCCUGCACCUGGCGUCAGACGGCGAGCAGUCUCUCCACGGCCUGGCCGCCUACCACGACGGGCCCGUCUGGGGCGCCUUCACGCACCUGGGCCGGGCCGUGCGGGAGGGGGCAGCGUGGACCCCAGAGCCGCUGCUGCAGGUGCAGCACGCGAGCAAGCAGAUCGCGGCCGACAAGCAGUACAAGGGCAUCGUGGACUGCAUUGUGCGUAUCCCCAAGGAGCAGGGCGUGCUGUCCUUCUGGCGGGGCAACCUGGCCAACGUCAUCCGCUACUUCCCCACGCAAGCCCUCAACUUCGCUUUCAAGGACAAGUACAAGCAGAUCUUCCUGGGGGGCGUGGACAAGCACACGCAGUUCUGGAGGUACUUCGCAGGCAACCUGGCCUCGGGCGGCGCGGCCGGGGCCACCUCCCUGUGCUUCGUCUACCCGCUGGAUUUCGCCCGAACCCGCCUGGCGGCCGACGUGGGCAAGUCGGGCAGUGAGCGCGAGUUCAGGGGCCUGGGAGACUGUCUGGUGAAGAUCACCAAGUCCGACGGCAUCCGCGGGCUGUACCAGGGCUUCAACGUGUCGGUGCAGGGUAUCAUCAUCUACCGCGCCGCCUACUUCGGCAUCUACGACACCGCCAAGGGCAUGCUCCCCGACCCCAAGAACACGCACAUCGUGGUGAGCUGGAUGAUCGCGCAGACCGUGACGGCCGUGGCGGGCGUGGUCUCCUACCCCUUCGACACCGUGCGGCGCCGCAUGAUGAUGCAGUCGGGGCGCAAAGGAGCCGACAUCAUGUACAAGGGCACCGUGGACUGCUGGCGGAAGAUCCUCAAGGACGAGGGCGGCAAGGCCUUCUUCAAGGGCGCCUGGUCCAACGUGCUGCGCGGCAUGGGCGGCGCCUUUGUGCUGGUCCUCUACGACGAGCUCAAGAAGGUCAUCUAAAAGCCGGGCCGCCCGCCGCGACCACCUAGCAUCAUCCCGCACUGUGACGGACCACCGACUUCGAGAAAUUCCAGCGUCCCUGCCGGGGCCGGGCCGCCCCGCGCCGGGGGCUCCUCACUGGCAGACCAUCGGCCCUGGGUCCACGUGUUGAUUGGGGUGGGGGGAGAGGGCAAUCGGGGGGGUCUCCAUGGGUCCACAGUCGAGGCAGCUCCGCACACCAGACCUAGACUCCAGGUGCUUGUAGGACCGACCCGUGUUUAAGUAUUUAUUUAAGAAAAUCAUGUCUCCAUUUGUACUUAAGCACUAUUCUCUCUUUUGCACAGCCGAAUACUCGCAAUUAUGUUUCUCCGUCGGGCAUUUCCGCUGCGGAACAAUAAAAUCAGGACACAGAG
rnacentral:lncRNA from 1 species